UUACUCUCCAUCCCCUACCGAACUUAUCGGGAGAAAACCCACUCUACAGACUGUGGGAGAGCUCUGCUAUUUCCUGCACCAUCUCAACUAGUCCACCUACGCUGCCCUGCGCUAUUCGACACGAAGCCAUGGCGGUUCCCCUUCUCUAUAGGCCAACAGAGAAGGCCGCUCCAUCCAAGCGGUUGCGAGCCGGCUGCGGUGGUUCCGCAGAAGGGGAAUAGGUCAUCCCACCGGUGGGAUGCAGUUGAACUGAAGCGACAGUGCCAAGUUGGAUCGCGAUUUCGGCUGCGGAGCGGCGCUUGGCCGCAGCGACGCGCUCCACGAGCUUGAGAAGUGUAUGAAUAUGAUUGACCUCAUUUUCAAGCUUGGUCACUCGCUCACUGCACGCGCUCAUGAGCUCAAGCCCCGCCCCUUACCUCCCUCUAACUUGGCGACCUCCAUCCCCUGGUGGUAAUUGAAUCAAGAAAUUCAGUAUGAACUUAUAAAGUGUAGAGGUUCUACAGAUGCAGCAACAUCAAGGACUGCCGUGAGGAAGCACCUGGAGUGGAGUCACGACAACGUUGUGAUUCUCAUUAACCUAUGAGAACGAACAUAACCACAACCACGUACAGCCCCCGACCUAUCCAUGCUCGCCAUGAAUUCAGUAAAGCCCGACUGAAGUUACCAAUCCCAGAAGAAUAUAGAAGAACUCUAAAUUAUUAUGCCAUGGAUGGAACAUGUCAUUAAUCUGGUCUUUGGUUAUUCGGUCUGACAAAAGAAUUGGAUGUAAGUGAAUUUUGUAUCAGGAAGGCAAACAUUACAUUGCGUGUCGUUUUCAUGAUGUAUAAUGAAUACUUGAUCUUGGCUGCA